AGAAGCAAUCCGCUUAACUAACAUUACGCCCUUAAAGAGCAUUCCUAUUUAAAGCCUAUGAUUUUUCAUUCUCUCUCCUCACUCAGUUGGAAAUUGAAAAACUACGCUCUCGCCAGAAAACCCUCGCUCCCAAAAUUGAUUCCCUUGAAAUCGAUAGCUGCAAAUUCGGUGAGAGAGAAAGCGAAGCGCUUCAUCCCCUCCAACAACGCAACUGCAAAAAUCGAAGAGAGAGAAAGCCAAGUCCCUCCAGAAACGCGAUUGCUGCAAAUUCGAAGCUAGAGAGAAGAGAAAGCGAAGCCCUAGAAUCCUAUUCGGCCCUUCUCUCCGCCCUCGCCUUCGCCCGUCCAGUUCGUCCCGGCGUCCAGCUCAAAUCGCAUAGCAGGUCUGCCAUCGUUUGAACAUUACCUUUCAAAAAUUCUUAUAUAAAAGUUGAGGAACUGUGCAUAACUAACCUAAGAUUGUGUUAGUUAUUUGGGAAUUUCUUGUUUACUAAUUUCUUGGUUGUUAUUAUUGAAGUAUUCAUUGAGAUUUGGGAAACUAUGUGCCUCGCAAAGCAAUAAUUCGUAACAUUAUGCUCAAAUCGUUCCUCUGCUCUUCUCAUCUUUGUUGUAUGGUAAAAGGAUAUAAUAAUAACUGGAGACUAUGUAAUGUUGAUAAUGAAUUUUUUUAGGAAAAAAAUUUAGGUACCACUUUUUGACAAUCAGUUAUGUGAUAUCACUUUCUUAACAGACUCCCACUUCGAUUUCAAGGCAAGUGAUAAGAGUAAGUAAUUGAGAGAUAUGAAGCUUGUUCUGAGUCCUUUAUAUGAAGCUUGAUGACUGUGUUAAAUUUAUACUGAUGGAUACCAAGUGAUAGUUAAUGAAGAAACUUUAGCCUUACGCAUACAUAUUUUUCCAACCUCCAUAAUUGUGGAUAAUUUUGCCUAUAAUUUUAAAAAUAAAUAAAUUAUGCAUACAUAUUUAGCCAAGGUCGGGAUGGUAGUUUUUUGCCACUGGCUGAUUUUCUUACACGGUUUUCUCAUGGUGAAAAGUUAACUAUUGGUCUCGGUUAUAUCUUCAGCUCUUUUAGCUCUUUCCUUUGUCAUCCCAGUAUAUCCAUUAAUUUGACUUGACUUUCAAGAUGGCAAGUGAAGUCUUAUUUCCAGAACUAGUUGUAUCCUUUGUCAUCCCAAUAUAUCUUCAGAACUAGUUGUGCUCUGUGAUAUGUUUCUGCAUUAGUGUUAAUUGUUUUAUCAUACUGAAUAUGAAAACCAACUUGGUUCUCUAAGCAAACAAUCACAAAAUUGAGUUCCUUUAUUCUCAGAUGCAUAUGGUCCAUUGAACUCGUUCAACUUGGUGAUUUCAAACUGGAGUAUGAGUUUUAAGUUUAUUUGUUGUGCCUUGUAGAAUUGGAGAAUCAAAUGUUGGUGCUACUCAGGAUCUACGUGUAGAUGAUGAAUGUGAUUCACCCACAUGUUGAACUGAGAUUUCUAUAACAACACUUGUAUAUCUAUAUAUUUGUAUUAAUUUGGAAAUUUUUUUCUACAGAGUGUCCUUUAGAAUUGCAGUAAUCAUGGAAUUGACUUAUGGUACCACUUUAAAGUCAGGUAGUUGUGCCUUUUUUGCUUUUUUUUAAUUUUGCUGUGAAAAGAUGGUCUUGAUCUGAUUGUUUGCAAGUCCACUUUGGUUUGAUGAAAGUUAUGUAGACAUUGAAAUUGUGCACUAUUUUUUCAAGUUGAAAUUGUGCACUGUUUUUCUAUAAACAAUAAUACUAAUAAAAAAAAUGCUUACAAUUUCAGUGGAGAUUCUGACAUUCUUUAGUGAAAAUAGCCCCCUUGAUUCUGUUUUUUGCACCUUUCAUUAGCAGUAUUUAUAUGAUUGUAGCCCUAUUGUUCUUAGCAGUAUUUAUGUGUAAUUCAUUGUUGUCAGAACUUCAUUUUUGGUAUCAUGACUGAUUUAUGACUCAUUUUAUUAGAUGGAAUGGCCCUUGUUGGAGUCUUCCUAUACUCAAGGGUGAAGUGCAUAAAGCCAAAGGCAGCUGGAAAUUCUCUUGAUGUAAAGUUUGCUGGGAAACAGUUUGUUGGUAGUGAGGACAUAAAUUGUUUAAGAAAUUGGUUGGUUGUCAGGCAGGGAAUUCUUUGUGUUUUUCUAUUUCGUUUCCCCAUUUUAUUUUUCUCAUCUUUUCUUUUGGGGACAGUUUGUACUUUUGCUAGAUCCUGUGAUCUUGUAAUCAUGGUGUUUGCACUCGGUUAAAUUGUUGUAGUUCUAAAUGCAAAAUGUACCCGUAUACACGUUUUUGACAAAAUGGUAGUGCAAAUAGCCAAAUNNN
rnacentral:lncRNA from 1 species